UUUUGUUGAUGGUUUCCUUUGCUGUGCAAAAGGUUUUUAUUUUGAGGUAGUCUCAAUAGUUUAUUGUUGCUUUUGUUACCUUUGCCUCAGCAGACAUAGUUAGAAAAAAUGUUGCUACGGCUGAUGUCAGAGCCCUUACUGCCUGUGCUCUGAUGCAGGGUUUUUAUGGUUUCAGGUCUCACAUUUAGGUCUUUCAUC